rnacentral:rRNA from 1 species
UACGUAGGAGGCAAGCGUUGUCCGGAAUUACUGGGCGUAAAGCGCGUGUAGGUGGUGGGACAAGUCUGCUGUGAAAGUGCCUGGCUUAACCGGGCGAGGUCGGCGGAAACUGUCCGACUCGAGGACGGUAGAGGGGGGUGGAAUUCCCGGUGUAGUGGUGAAAUGCGUAGAGAUCGGGAGGAACACCUGUGGCGAAGGCGGCCCCCUGGGCCGGCCCUGACACUGAGACGCGAAGGCGUGGGGAGCGAACGGG